rnacentral:rRNA from 1 species
CAUAGGUACUAUACCAUUUUGGGAUGUGUUGGCUUUUAUCUCCCAUAAGAUAAGCACAGUUGGACCAGAUUAGUACUUCAAUGGGAUACCUCCUAAUGAAAAACAAGGUGCUGAAGG